rnacentral:lncRNA from 1 species
GGAGACCCAGAUAAGGAACUGGCAGACUUCCCUCAUUAACCCCCAGAGUGUGUGUAAUAAAGUCCUUGUCCUCAAUGCAAGGACCCAUAUAGACUUUACUUUUUGCAUGAUUUAACUGAAGGCUAUAAACCAUACCAAAGUCAUUUAGAAUAGUAGCUAGGUUCCUCAUUGAAGUUGGAUCAUUCUGGAGAAAUAUAAGUAAAUCAUCUGCAAAUGUUAUGUGUGAUAUGUGAAUAGAACCAGCAUUUGGUACCUUAAUACCGCCAUUCAAGACUGCCUAUUCCAACAUACAGC